rnacentral:sRNA from 1 species
AACCAAAAUGCUUACAAGGCUAUCUCAUCAUUAUCCCAUAUGCAUAUGCAACAAUCCUAAAUGAAACACUCUAGACUGGAUCCUAAAUGUAAUGCAACUACAUGAAUACUCUGUUUUUGUGAAAUCAUUUUCUGAAAUUUUUCAC